rnacentral:rRNA from 7 species
GACUCUCGGCAACGGAUAUCUCGGCUCUUGCAUCGAUGAAGAACGUAGCAAAAUGCGAUACCUGGUGUGAAUUGCAGAAUCCCGCGAACCAUCGAGUUUUUGAACGCAAGUUGCGCCCGAAGCCUUCUGACGGAGGGCACGUCUGCCUGGGCGUCA